AGAUGUGAGAGCAACCUGGCUGAGACAUCUGUCGCCCCUUUGUUCACCAGCAUUGAUUCUACUGAUCUGACAGGUGAAGCAGAUGUCCUCCUUCCUCCCUCCGUGCCCCAUUCCUCCCUCCCCUCUGAAGCUGCACUUUCAGGAACAUCCAAAUAGGCAUACAAACAGGAGGGAAAGCCAUGGUCUUGGGUGAGAUUGCAGAGGGAAAACGUAGAGAGUAAGAGGAGAAAGGGAACUGGGGGUAAGUAUUGUUGUUAGGUGCCAUCAAGUUGGUUCCUACUCAUAGUGACCCUGUGUACAACAGAACAAAACACUGCCUAGUCCUGAGUCAUCCUCAGAAUCGUUGCUAUGUUU
rnacentral:snRNA from 1 species